GAGGCAGCCUUUAGAAGUUUGAUACUGUCCAUCUCUGGCAGUUCAGCGUCCUAGAAUAUGGUCGCAUCCAUGGCCAUGACUGGAGUGACCCAGGUCUUGGUAGGGGAGGUAGUAGGAGAGGCCUUGGAAGUGUAUGAGACGUGGGGAGACACGCCCCCGCUGCAGCCCAACCAUUUGAGGCAGGCUGUCUGCAAGUUCAAGUUUAAGGGCCACUUUUUAUUAUUAUUAUUAUUACAUUUUUUUAUUAUUUUAUUUUAUUUUAUUUUUUUGA
rnacentral:lncRNA from 1 species